UUUAAAGGAUAGCUCAGCUGGUAGACCAUGAGACUCUUCAUCUCAGGGUCGUGGGUUCAAAACCCACAAUGGGCAAAA